ACUGCUCAGUAACACGUGGACAACCUACCCUCAGCACGGGGAUAAACCCGGGAAACUGGGUAUAAUACCCGAUAGUUCUGGUUAGCUGGAAUGCUUCCAGGACGAAAGCUCCGGCGACUGAGGAUGGGUCUGCGGCCUAUCAGGUAGUAGUGGGUGUAAUGUACCUACUAGCCUACGACGGGUACGGGUCGUGAGAGCGAGAGCCCGGAGAUGGAUUCUGAGACACGAAUCCAGGCCCUACGGGGUGCAGCAGGCGCGAAAACUUUACAAUGCUGGCAACAGCGAUAAGGGGACCUCGAGUGCCAGGAUACAAUCUUGGCUGUCGUAAUGCCUAAAAAGCAUUGCAUAGCAAGGGCCGGGCAAGACCGGUGCCAGCCGCCGCGGUAACACCGGCGGCUCGAGUGGUAACCGCUAUUAUUGGGUCUAAAGGGUCUGUAGCCGGCCGGAUAAGUCUUUUGGGAAAUCUGGCAGCUCAACUGUCAGGCUUUCAGAAGAUACUGUUCGGCUCGAGACCGGGAGAGGUGAGAGGUACUUCAGGGGUAGGGGUGAAAUCUUGUAAUCCUUGAAGGACCACCAGUGGCGAAGGCGUCUCACCAGAACGGAUCUGACGGCAAGGGACGAAAGCUAGGGGCACGAACCGGAUUAGAUACCCGGGUAGUCCUAGCCGUAACGAUACUCGCUAGGUGUCGGCCACGGUGCGACCGUGGUCGGUGCCGUAGGGAAGCCGUGAAGCGAGCCACCUGGGAAGUACGGCCGCAAGGCUGAAACUUAAAGGAAUUGGCGGGGGAGCA
rnacentral:rRNA from 1 species